UACGUAGGGUGCAAGCAUUAAUCGGAAUAAUUGGGCGUAAAGUGUGCUUAGGUGGGCGAAUCAGUCAGGUGUGAAAUCCUUCGGCUCAACCGAAGGGCUGCACUUGAUACUAUUUGUCUUGAGGGUAAUUGGAGAGAAUAGAAUUCCAUGUGUAGCGGUGAAAUGCGUAGAUAUAUGGAGGAAUACCCGUGGCGAAAGCGAUUCUCUAAAUUACACCUGACGCUGAUGUACGAAAGCAAGGGGAGCAAACAGG
rnacentral:misc_RNA from 1 species